UUCAGAGAUGAGAAUGUGCCUUCGGGAACCGUGAGACAGGUGCUGCAUGGCUGUCGUCAGCUCGUGUUGUGAAAUGUUGGGUUAAGUCCCGCAACGAGCGCAACCCUUAUCCUUUGUUGCCAGCGGUCCGGCCGGGAACUCAAAGGAGACUGCCAGUGAUAAACUGGAGGAAGGUGGGGAUGACGUCAAGUCAUCAUGGCCCUUACGACCAGGGCUACACACGUGCUACAAUGGCGCAUACAAAGAGAAGCGACCUCGCGAGAGCAAGCGGACCUCAUAAAGUGCGUCGUAGUCCGGAUUGGAGUCUGCAACUCGACUCCAUGAAGUCGGAAUCGCUAGUAAUCGUGGAUCAGAAUGCCACGGUGAAUACGUUCCCGGGCCUUGUACACACCGCCCGUCACACCAUGGGAGUGGGUUGCAAAAGAAGUAGGUAGCUUAACCUUCGGGAGGGCGCUUACCACUUUGUGAUUCAUGACUGGGGUGAAGUCGUAACAAGGUAACCGUAGGGGAACCUGCGGUUGGAUCACCUCCUU
rnacentral:rRNA from 1 species